AGCGAACGCUGGCGGCAGGCCUAACACAUGCAAGUCGAACGAAGUCUUCGGACUUAGUGGCGGACGGGAGAGUAACACGUGGGAACGUACCUUUUGGUUCGGAACAACUCAGGGAAACUUGAGCUAAUACCGGAUGAGCCCUUAGGGGGAAAGAUUUAUCGCCGAAAGAGCGGCCCGCGUUAGAUGAGCUAGUUGGUGAGGUAAAGGCUCACCAAGGCUACGAUCUAUAGCUGGUCUGAGAGGAUGCUCGGCCACACUGGAAGUGAGACACGCCCCAGACUCCUACGGGAGGCAGCAGUGGGGAAUCUUGCGCAAUGGGCGAAAGCCUGACGCAGCCAUGCCGCGUGAAUGAUGAAGGUCUUAGGAUUGUAAAAUUCUUUUACCAGGGACGAUAAUAACGGUACCUGGAGAAAAAGCCCCGGCUAACUUCGUGCCAGCAGCCGCCGUAAAAC
rnacentral:rRNA from 1 species